rnacentral:tRNA from 1 species
GGGGAUGUAGCUCAGUGGCAGAGCAUUUGACUGCAGAUCAAGAGGUCUCUGGUUCAAAUCCAGGCGUCCCCU